AAUGGCCGCGGUAACUCUGACCGUGAUAAAGUAGCAUAAUCACUCGUCACUUAAUUGGUGACUGGAAUGAAUGGCUAAACGAACCCCCCUCUGUCUCCAAGAAAAUUCCGGCGAACUUGAAAUGACAGUGAAGAUGCUGUCAAGCAACUGUAAGACGAAAAGACCCUAUCGAGCUUUACUGGAAGCUUGCAGAUUUAAAAGGACGUUAACCUGCACGUCUUCAAAAACUGCAAGCCCGACAGUUUGGUUGGGGCGACCACCCCUAAGAAAGUAUCAGGGGAACUCUAAAGGUAAUUACUAAAUGGAAAAUGCCUUACUGAAAACAAACAAGUCAACCAGUUACUAUAGGUAGGACAUAAUGACCCGUUACAUCAAUCACGAAAUGUAACGACCACGAAAAAAGUUACCGUAGGGAUAACAGGGUAAUAUUUUCGGAGAGUUCAUAUCGAUGAAAAUGUUUGCCACCUCGAUGUUGAAUU
rnacentral:rRNA from 1 species